GACGGACGCUGGCGGCGUGCUUAACACAUGCAAGUCGAACGGUGAAGCGCCUUCCUUUUUGGUGGGUGUGGAUGAGUGGCGAACGGGUGAGUAACACGUGAGUAACCUGCCCCCUUCUUCUGGAUAACCGCAUGAAAGUGUGGCUAAUACGGGAUAUUCUGGGUCUGUCGCAUGAUGGGUCUGGGAAAGAUAUUGUUUCGGUGGGGGAUGGGCUCGCGGCCUAUCAGCUUGUUGGUGGGGUGAUGGCCUACCAAGGCGGUGACGGGUAGCCGGCCUGAGAGGGUGGACGGUCACACUGGGACUGAGACACGGCCCAGACUCCUACGGGAGGCAGCAGUGGGGAAUAUUGCACAAUGGGCGGAAGCCUGAUGCAGCGACGCCGCGUGAGGGAUGGAGGCCUUCGGGUUGUGAACCUCUUUCGCCAGUGAAGCAGGCCUGCCUCGUUUGUGGGUGGGUUGACGGUAGCUGGAUAAGAAGCGCCGGCUAACUACGUG
rnacentral:rRNA from 1 species